UACGUAGGGUGCGAGCGUUGUUCGGAAUUACUGGGCGUAAAGCGCGCGUAGGCGGACCUGCAAGUCGGGGGUGAAAGCCCGAGGCUCAACCUCGGAACUGCCUUCGAUACUGCGGGUCUCGAGUCCGGGAGAGGUGAGUGGAAUUCCUAGUGUAGAGGUGAAAUUCGUAGAUAUUAGGAAGAACACCAGUGGCGAAGGCGGCUCACUGGCUCGGUACUGACGCUGAGGAGCGAAAGCGUGGGGAGCAAACAGG
rnacentral:rRNA from 1 species